rnacentral:rRNA from 1 species
AUGGUGUUCGUCGCCGCCGUCAAUGGCCUUCGGCCUCGAUCUGCAUGUUGGCUGGAUACGGCGUGGUGGGGAGGAGGUGAGCUGGUCGUGGUGGGGAGGAGGAGCAGCUGUGGCAAGGAGAGAUUGCCACUGGGAAUGCAAACCGCAAUGGAAUCCAUCCGCAUCGACGUUGUUGAAAUAGAAGUUGGCCCUGCGGUGAAUUCUUACACCUGA